AUGGACAUGACAAGUAGCGCGGUCUGGUUUGCCAUAGCUCUUUUGUUCCUCAGUGUCGUGGUCACAAAGAUUGUGUCAGGAAGACUAAUUACAUCUGAUCGAAGACGCCUUCCACCCGUUGUUAAUGGCCUUGCUAUGCUAGUACUAGUACCAAUUUUCAUCAGAAACGGUCGACAAGCUACAAUCCAAUACCUGCAUACCAAGUUUGGUAGUGUAUUCACAAUAAGUUUGUUUGGACUAAAGCUAACCUUCUUGAUCGGGCCAGAAGUUGCAGAUCAUUUCUUUCAAGGGUUGGACUCAGAAAUUAGCUAUGGUAAAAUCUAUGAGUUCACUGUGCCAAUGUUUGGCCAAGCAGUUGGUUAUGGUAUAGAUAGCACCACUCAGAAUGAGCAGAUGCGGUUCUCUAGUGAUUCAAUGACGCCACUGAAUUUGAGGAGGAAAGUUGAACCAAUGCUUCAAGAAGUAAAGGACUACUUUUCACAAUGGGGAGAAGAUGGCAUAGUUGAUUUGAAACAUGAACUGAAGCACUUGCUCAUGCUGAUUUCGAGCCGUGCCCUGCUUGGGAGGGAGGUUCGGGAGGAAGUGUUCAUGGAAUUCUGUCAGCUAUUUUCUGAUAUUCAAGGAAGCGCAAAUAUGAUCAAUUUAUUAUUUCCUUAUGUUCCAAUUCUGACAAACCGCCAACGUGAUAGAGCACGCAUAAAACUCAUAGAAAUACUCUCUGAAAUUGUGAGGUCACGGAAGUUGUCUGGCCCAGUGGGGGAUGGUGAUAUGCUACAGAAAUUUAUGGAUUCCAGGUAUAGAGAUGGCCGCUCCACCACUGAAGAAGAGAUCGCGGGGCUUUGUAUUGCCAUUUUCUUUGCUGCAAAUCACACUUGCUCCCACGCCAUUACCUGGACCGCUGCUUAUCUGCUGAGCCAUGAAGACUGUUUAACAACUGUUGUUGAGGAGCAAAAGAAUAUCAUUAGGGAAAACAAGGACCGCAUAGACUAUAACAUCUUGUCACAUAUGCAUUUUCUUCAUAGGUGCAUCAAAGAGGCACUACGGAUGCACCCCCCAGUACCAGUAUUUCUUCGCAAGGCACAUAUGCCCUUCACAGUGCGGACCAAGCAAGGCGACCAAUAUGACAUCCCAAAAGAUCACAUCCUCGCAAGCCCUACCAUACUCAACCAUAAUAUGUCUUAUAUUUAUAAGAACCCUCAGCAGUAUGACCCGGACCGGUUUGGCCCGGAAAGAAAGGAGGACAAAAUUGGUGGUAAAUUUUCAUACACAUCAUUUGGUGCUGGAAGGCAUGCUUGCUUUGGCGAGGCCUAUGCUUAUAUGAAGUUUAAGAUGAUAUGGAGCUACAUGCUAAGGAAUUUUGAAGUAAAACUACUCUCUUCGUUCCCCAUAGAAGACUCCCGCAAGUUUGUCCCAGAACCUCAAGGAAAAAUGAUGGUUAGUUACAAGAGGCUUCGAUAA
rnacentral:rRNA from 1 species